rnacentral:rRNA from 1 species
CCUACGGGUGGCAGCAGUGGGGAAUAUUGGACAAUGGGCGCAAGCCUGAUCCAGCCAUGCCGCGUGAGUGAUGAAGGCCCUAGGGUUGUAAAGCUCUUUCAGUCGUGAAGAUAAUGACAUUAGCGACAGAAGAAGCCCCGGCUAACUUCGUGCCAGCAGCCGCGGUAAUACGUAGGGGGCGAGCGUUGUCCGGAUUUACUGGGCGUAAAGGGUGAGUAGGCGGUUGUAUAUGUCAGAUGUAAAAGGCACAGGCUUAACUUGUGUAAGCAUUUGAAACUGUACAACUUGAGUGCAGGAGAGGUAAGUGGAAUUCCUAGUGUAGCGGUGAAAUGCGUAGAUAUUAGGAGGAACACCAGUGGCGAAGGCGACUUACUGGACUGUAACUGACGCUGAGUCACGAAAGCGUGGGUAGCAAACAGGAUUAGAUACCCUGGUAGUC